GAGCCCGCACAAGCAGUGGAGUAUGUGGUUUAAUUCGACGCAACGCGAAAAACCUUACCAAGGAUUGACAUCCCGAGAAUCCGGCGUAAUGGCUGGAGUGCCCUUCGGGGAAUUCGGAGACAGGUGGUGCAUGGUUGUCGUCAGCUCGUGUCGUGAGAUGUUGGGUUAAGUCCCGCAACGAGCGCAACCCUUACUGUUAGUUGCUACGCAAGAGCACUCUGGCAGGACUGCCGUUGACAAAACGGAGGAAGGUGGGGACGACGUCAAAUCAUCAUGCCCCUUAUAUCUUGGGCUACACACGUACUACAAUGGCGCAAACAAAGGGAAGCGACCCCGCGAGGGUGAGCAAAUCCCAUAAAAGGCGUCCCAGUUCGGACUGCAGGCUGCAACUCGCCUGCACGAAGUUGGAAUUGCUAGUAAUCGCGGAUCAGCAUGCCGCGGUGAAUACGUUCCCGGGCUUU
rnacentral:rRNA from 1 species